rnacentral:rRNA from 1 species
GAAAUUGCCAUGGGCGAAAGCCUGAUGCAGCAACGCCGCGUGUGCGAAGAAGGCCUUCGGGUCGUAAAGCACUUUUCUGGGAGAUGAGAAAGGACAGUAUCCCAGGAAUAAGUCUCGGCUAACUACGUGCCAGCAGCCGCGGUAAAACGUAGGAGGCAAGCGUUAUCCGGAUUCACUGGGCGUAAAGCGCGUGCAGGCGGUUUGGUAAGUUAGGCGUGAAAGCUCCCGGCUCAACUGGGAGAGGUCGUCUAAAACUAUCAGACUAGAGAGCGGUAGAGGAAAAUGGAAUUCCCGGUGUAGUGGUGAAAUGCGUAGAUAUCGGGAGGAACACCAGUGGCGAAGGCGAUUUUCUGGACCGUUUCUGACGCUCAGACGCGAAAGCUAGGGUAGCAAACGGGAUUAGAGACCCCGGUAGUCCUAGCUGUAAACGAUGUGAACUUGGCGUUGGUGGCUUAAACACCAUCAGUGCCGCAGCUAACGCGAUAAGUUCACCGCCUGGGGACUACGGCCGCAAGGUUAAAACUCAAAGAAAUUGACGGA